rnacentral:misc_RNA from 1 species
GAAAUGCGAUAAGUAAUGUGAAUUGCAGAAUUCAGUGAAUCAUCGAAUCUUUGAACGCACCUGCGCUCCUUGGUAUUCCUUGGAGCAUGCCUGUUUGAGUAUCAUGAAAUCUUCAAAGUAAAUCUUUUGUUAACUCAAUUGGUUUCUACUUUGGUAUUGGAGGUCUUUGCAGCUUCACACCUGCUCCUCUUUGUUCAUUAGCUGGAUCUCAGUGUUAUGCUUGGUUCCACUCGGCGUGAUAAGUUAUCUAUCGCUGAGGACACUGUAAAAGGUGGCCAAGGUAAAUGCAGAUGAACCGCUUCUAAUAGUCCAUUGACUUGGACAAUACUUUUAUGAUCUGAUCUCAAAUCAGGUAGGACUACCCGCUGAACUUAAGC